AUCGUGGUCGAUUAUGGUAGUAGGCGAGGUAAUGGCUCACCAAGCCGAUAAUCGAUAGGGGCCGUGAGAGCGGGAGCCCCGAGAUGGGUACUGAGACAACGACCCAGGCCUUACGAGGCGCAGCAGGCGCGAAACCUCCGCAAUACACGAAAGUGUGACGGGGUUACCCAAAGUGUCCAACAUUGGACUGUGGUAGGUGAGUAAUGUCCCCUACUAGAAAGGAGAGGGCAAGGCUGGUGCCAGCCGCCGCGGUAAAACCAGCUCUUCAAGUGGUCGGGAUAAUUAUUGGGCUUAAAGUGUCCGUAGCCGGAUUAGUAAGUUCCUGGUAAAAUCAGGUAGCUUCACUAUCUGCAUGCUAGGAAUACUACUAUUCUAGAGGGCGGGAGAGGUCUGAGGUACUACAGGGGUACGGGUGAAAUCUUAUAAUCCUUGUAGGACCACCAGUGGCGAAGGCGUCAGACUGGAACGCGCCUGACGGUGAGGGACGAAAGCCAGGGGAGCGAACCGGAUUAGAUACCCGGGUAGUCCUGGCCGUAAACGAUGCAUACUGGGUGAUGGCACGGCCAUGAGCCGUGUCAGUGCCGUAGGGAAACCGUUAAGUGUGCCGCCUGGGAAGUACGGUCGCAAGGCUAAAACUUAAAGGAAUUGGCGGGGGAGCACCACAAGGGGUGAAGCCUGCGGUUUAAUUGGACUCAACGCCGGGAAACUUACCAGGGGAGACAGUAGAAUGCAGGUCAGGUUGACGACCUUACCUAACGAGCUGAGAGGAGGUGCAUGGCCGUCGCCAGUUCGUGCUGUGAGGUAUCCUGUUAAGUCAGGCAACGAACGAGAUCCGCACCUUUAUUUGCCAGCAAGAAGCUACGGCUUCGUUGGGAACACUAAAGGGACCGCCGUCGUUAAGACGGAGGAAGGAGCGGGCAAAGGCAGGUCAGUAUGCCCCGAAACCCCUGGGCUACACGCGGGCUGCAAUGGUAUGAACAACGGGCUGUGACUCCGAAAGGAGAAACCAAUCCCGAAAUCAUAUCUCAGUUGGGAUUGUUGGCUGUAACCCGCUGACAUGAACGUGGAAU
rnacentral:rRNA from 1 species